GGCAGCUCUCUAAGAUCGUUCUAGCAACAGCUGGACAAAUGCAAAAUAUGCUCAUAAAAGUUCUCAUUUCUAUAAAAUAAUCUCCAAUACAAUCUAGCAUAAUUGCACAAAUUAAUAACAAAUUCACAAAUGUUAAUUCUGAAAAGGAAAAAAAAGUAUUUCUCAACUGAAAUACUUAACCAUCUGAAUUUCUUUUUGCUUGAAUCCACACUUCUCAUAAAAUGCUUUGUUCUCUACACUACAAUCAAGAAUGACCUUGUAGCACCCCAUUGAAUGGGCAUGAUCUGUCAGGAACCCAAUAAUUUUCUUUCCCAAUUGUUGCCCCCGAGCAGUGGAAUCAACCACAACAUCUUCAAUGUGCCCAACUUUACCACAAUUCCUUAUGAACUUCUUUUCAAUAAACACACUCCCAGUUGCGAUAAUUUUCCCCGAUCGAUCAUCUUCAAUUACACAAAUAAGAUGGUCAUUGCCAUAAGAGCUGAUCUCUUGAAAUCGCUCUUCAAAUUCCUUGUCUGAUACAGAAUCACACACGGUUAGUUGUUGCAAUAGCUCUAUAAAACCUUUGCUUUUGUCUGAUUUCUCCAACUUGCGGACUUGAAGCUUCAGCUCACUACUCAACGAGUUACUACCAUCCAUCUUAUUUCAGUAUGGCUUCAGUUCUGAAAAUAUGAUGAAGUCCGCCAGAGUUGCUUACAGUUGAGGCUUCCGUUAUCGCAGCAAAGUUGUUUGAUGAAAUGGUUGAAAGAGUUCCCCCAGAUGACCAAAAACGCGGGGGGCUUUCAAAUUUUUUUAUGGGGGAGUGACCAGAAAUUGGGCUAAGAUGGAGAAGUGAAGCUCAUAAUUGAAGUCAAAAAGGGCCUUGGAGGUCCAAUGUCUAUGGGCUCG
rnacentral:misc_RNA from 1 species